UGCUGGUUUUAAAGUAAGCAUCAUUUUACUACCACAAUUUCACCAGUGUUCUGAUUUUUACAUCAAAUAAGGGGCCAGAUUAGGCCAUUAACCUACCUUGUCCUUUACAGGUGAAAAACUGCACAAUUUGUAAAAUAUCCAAGUCAAUUUUGUGCAAAGACUAAACCCAUCUUUCCUAUUUUUAAAAUAUCAAAAGACUGCUUGAAUGUAAAAUUUAAUUACAGGAUAAAAUUUUAUGACUUGUAUACCGGUAUGUCUUCUUGUUCAUCUAUUUGUUAUGGUGUUCUGCAAGUUUCAUGCAUUUCAUUCGGCUCAGUAAAUCAAAAUUAAGUCAUUUUGUAUCUUGAUAUUCAUAAUAUCAUACCAAAAGAAUUUGAUGCAUUGCCAAUGAAAUUCAAGCAAACAGAAGCACGGGAAAUGAUGAGAGAGUCUUGAUGUUUUUAACCAAUAACUCCCAAAUUUUCUCCAGGGGUUAAAGUUUGUUUUCUACGUGCAUUUCUUAUUACUUGUUUGCUUCUUAUGUUUUACCAUCAGUUCAAACAAAUCAGUAGAUCAGUAUAAUUUACGUUCUAUUAGCCAUUUGUCAGUCCCCAUGAUCCAAUUUGUGUUUUUGUAUAUAUAAUAAACUUGGUAACUAUAA